UACGAAGGGGGCUAGCGUUGCUCGGAAUCACUGGGCGUAAAGCGCACGUAGGCGGCCUCCUAAGUCAGAGGUGAAAUCCUGGAGCUCAACUCCAGAACUGCCUUUGAUACUGGGAGCCUUGAGUUCGGGAGAGGUGAGUGGAACUGCGAGUGUAGAGGUGAAAUUCGUAGAUAUUCGCAAGAACACCAGUGGCGAAGGCGGCCACCUGGACCAGCACUGACACUGAGGCACGAAAGCGUGGGGAGCAAACAGG
rnacentral:rRNA from 1 species